rnacentral:rRNA from 1 species
AGCGAUGAAGCCUUCGGGUGUAAAGCUCUUUCGUCAGGGAAGAUAGUGACGGUACCUGGAGAAGCAGCUGCGGCUAACUACGUGC